rnacentral:lncRNA from 1 species
CAAAGACUUCACAGCACCCUUAGCAGCAGGGAAAUGUGGAGUGGAAGGUGCUAAAACUGUAAUUAGAACAAGGCAUCUGUCUCCCAGCUCCUACUGAGCAGCUACUAAUCAAUGUGAUCACUUGCUUUGAGUAAGGAAGUGCUCACCCAUGGUUCCGCUGGACAUUUUCCCAGCCACUAGCAGACUGGAUGCUGGUAGAAAGUACCCUUGGCUUGGAGAGACAGAAGAGAAAUGGAAGAUUUAGGGAAGCAAAUACUAUUUUGCCACCAAUACCUGGAAAUCACAGGACCAGGAGAAGAAGCUGGAGAGCUGCAGAGGUACAGCAGUGCUGGUGAGGGAGCAGAAGGUAAGCUGAGGGCAAACACAAGCUAACACCCAUCAAUUUCCCCUCCCCUACCCUGCAUGGGAUAUACGUGACAUUCCUCAU